ACCUGGAUGCCGGAAUGGUAUACGAGCUGAACUCAAAAUUCAGUGAUUCUAAAUCAUGUGGGUUCAAAUCCCACUCCAGGUA
rnacentral:tRNA from 2 species